UAGUCCACGCCGUAAACGAUGAUUACUCGAUGUUGGCAAUACACCGUCAGCGUCCAAGCGAAAGCGUUAAGUAAUCCACCUGGGGAGUACGAUCGCAAGAUUGAAGCUCAAAGGAAUUGACGGGGGCCCGCACAAGCGGAGGAGCAUGUGGUUUAAUUCGAUGAUACGCGAGGAACCUUACCUGGGCUCAAACGUAGAGUGACCGUCUGUGAAAACAGUCUUCCCUUCGGGGCAGUCUACGAGGUGCUGCAUGGUUGUCGUCAGCUCGUGCCGUGAGGUGUCGGGUUAAGUCCCAUAACGAGCGCAACCCCUAUCAUUAGUUGCCAUCAGGUCAAGCUGGGGACUCUAAUGAAACUGCCUACGCAAGUAGCGAGGAAGGUGGGGAUGACGUCAAAUCAGCACGGCCCUUACGUCCAGGGCUACACACGUGCUACAAUGGCCGAUACAGAGGGCAGCUACCAUGUGAAUGGAUGCAAAUCUCGAAAAUCGGU
rnacentral:rRNA from 1 species